rnacentral:rRNA from 1 species
AUUCCCUUAGUAACGGCGAGUGAACCGGGAUGAGCUCAAAUUUAAAAUCUGGCGUCUUUCAGGCGUCCGAGUUGUAAUCUAUAGAGGCGUUUUCCGCGCCGGACCGCGUCCAAGUCUCUUGGAAUAGAGUAUCAAAGAGGGUGACAAUCCCGUACUUGACGCGACAACCGGUGCUCUGUGAUACGUUCUCAAUGAGUCGAGUUGUUUGGGAAUGCAGCUCUAAAUGGGUGGUAAAUUCCAUCUAAGGCUAAAUAUUGGCGAGAGACCGAUAGCGAACAAGUACCGUGAGGGAAAGAUGAAAAGCACUUUGGAAAGAGAGUUAAACAGCACGUGAAAUUGUUAAAAGGGAAACGAUUGAAGUCAGUCGUGUGAAAGGUAUUCAGCCGUCUCUGGCGGUGUAUUUGCCUUUCACGGGUCAACAUCAGUUUGAUCCGGUAGAAAAAGGCGGGAGGAAGGUGGCACCCUCGGGUGUGUUAUAGCCUCCUGUCAUAUGUGCCGGACCAGACUGAGGAACGCAGCUUGCCGCAAGGCCGGGGUUCGCCCACGUACAAGCUUAGGAUGUUGACAUAAUGGCUUUAAACGACCCGUCUUGAAACACGGAC